UCGCAAGUAUCUAAGUUUAGUUUUGAUUUAAGAAAAUUAAGAGGCAAAACUAUAGAAAAUGAAAACCGAUACCUCUUGGAUAAAGUUGACACCCAAAGUAAGCAAAUUGAAUCUCAAAGGAUACAAAUAGAAACUCAGAGUAAGCAAAUAGAAAAUCAGAGUAACCAAAUGUCGAAAAUGCAAAAGACUCUUGAUCAGUGUACCGGAGAGCUCCAACUCUUUAGGACUGUUUUUUCUGACUUUUGCGGGCCACGUAUGUCCAUACCACCAGAGGCAACUUCUAGUGCAUUUCAUCAGGAUCAUCGAUGAAUUUUCCAAGACAAUCCUUAUCAGAUCAAAAAAGAGACAUCAUAAUGAAGAGACAUCCCAAUC